CCUACGGGAGGCUGCAGUAGGGAAUAUUGGACAAUGGGCGAAAGCCUGAUCCAGCAAUGCCGCGUGAGUGAUGAAGGCCUUAGGGUUGUAAAGCUCUUUUACCCGAGAUGAUAAUGACAGUAUCGGGAGAAUAAGCUCCGGCUAACUCCGUGCCAGCAGCCGCGGUAAUACGGAGGGAGCUAGCGUUGUUCGGAAUUACUGGGCGUAAAGCGCACGUAGGCGGCGAUUUAAGUCAGAGGUGAAAGCCCGGGGCUCAACCCCGGAACUGCCUUUGAGACUGGAUUGCUAGAAUCUUGGAGAGGCGAGUGGAAUUCCGAGUGUAGAGGUGAAAUUCGUAGAUAUUCGGAAGAACACCAGUGGCGAAGGCGGCCCGCUGGACAAGUAUUGACGCUGAGGUGCGAAAGCGUGGGGAGCAAACAGGAUUAGAUACCCGGGUAGUC
rnacentral:rRNA from 1 species